GAAGCGUAGUGGUAUCCUGAGUAGCGCGGGACACGAGGAAUCUUGCGUGAAUCUGCCGGGACCAUCCGGUAAGGCUAAAUACUCCCGAGAGACCGAUAGCGAACCAGUACUGUGAAGGAAAGGUGAAAAGCACUUCGAAUAGAAGAGUGAAAUAGUCCCUGAAACCGUGCGCCUACAAGCGGUCGGAGCUGCUUCAGCAGUGACGGCGUGCCUUUUGCAUAAUGAACCUACGAGUUACUUUUUCCGGCAAGGUUAAGCAUUUUAAAAUGUGUAGCCGAAGCGAAAGCGAGUCUGAACAGGGCGAUUAGUCGGAAGGAGUAGACGCGAAACCAAGUGAUCUACCCUUGGUCAGGUUGAAGGUUAGGUAACACUAACUGGAGGACCGAACCGAUAAGCGUUGAAAAGCUUCCGGAUGAACUGAGGGUGGGGGUGAAAGGCUAAUCAAACUUGGAGAUAGCUCGUACUCCCCGAAAUGCAUUUAGGUGCAGCCUUGGGAAUUACUACUGUGAGGUAGAGCGACUGAUAAGAUGCGAGGGCUUCACCGCCUAUCAAGUCUUGAUAAACUCCGAAUGCGCAGUAGUUCGAUCCCAGGAGUGAGGGCAUGGGUGCUAAGGUCCAUGUCCUAAAGGAGAAGAAUCCGGACCAUCAGCUAAGGUCCCGAAAUAAUUGCUAAGUUGAACUAACGAAGUCAGAUUGCUAAGACAGCUAGGAUGUUGGCUUGGAAGCAGCCAUUCAUUUAAAGAGUGCGUAACAGCUCACUAGUCGAGGAGUUUGGCGUGGAUAAUAAUCGGGCAUUAAGCAAUUUACCGAAGCUAUGGGAUCAGUAAUGAUCGGUAGGGGAGCAUUCCACUCUGCGUCGAAGGUGAAGCGUGAGCUUUGCUGGAGCGUGUGGAAAAGCAAAUGUAGGUAUAAGUAACGAUAAAGGGGGUGAGAAACCCCCUCGCCGAAAGACUAAGGUUUCCUGAUCAACGCUAAUCGGAUCAGGGUUAGUCGGGUCCUAAGGCUCAGCCGAACGGUGAGGCCGAUGGCAGAACAGGUUAAUAUUCCUGUACUACCUUAAGGAGUGACGUGGAGACGGAGCAGUGAUAGCGCCGCGGACUGACGGAAUAGUCCGUUGAAGGGUGUAGAUGUUGAUCUUUGCAGGCAAAUCCACAAAGAGAGUCGAACCUGAUAGUAUACCAAAUUCUUCGGAAUAAGGUAAUAGUGCGUGUAAGCAUACUCCCAAGAAAAUCCGCUAAACUUAAUCUUUAAGGUACCCGUACCGCAAACGGACACACGUAGUCGGGUUGAAUAUACUAAGGCGCUUGAGUGAUUCACGGUUAAGGAACUAGGCAAAUUGACCCUGUAACUUCGGGAUAAAGGGUCCCAACGAGAGUUGGGCGCAGAGAAUAGGUCCAGGCAACUGUUUAACAAAAACACAGGGCUGUGCUAAAUUGAAAGAUUACGUAUACAGCCUGACACCUGCCCGGUGCUGGAAGGUUAAGAGGAGAUGUCAUCGCAAGAGAAGCAUUGAAUUGAAGCCCCAGUAAACGGCGGCCGUAACUAUAACGGUCCUAAGGUAGCGAAAUUCCUUGUCGGGUAAGUUCCGACCUGCACGAAUGGUGUAAUGAUCUGGACACUGUCUCAACCGUGAGCUCAGUGAAAUUGUAGUAUCGGUGAAGAUGCCGAUUACCCGCGAUGGGACGAAAAGACCCCGUGAACCUUUACUAUAGCUUAACAUUGAAUUUGGGUAAUUGAUGUGUAGGAUAGGCCGGAGACUUCGAAGCAGGUACGCCAGUAUUUGUGGAGUCGCUGUUGAAAUACGGCCCUUUGAUUAUUUGAGUUCUAACUCGUAGAUGCGAGGACACUGUUUGGUGGGUAGUUUGACUGGGGUGGUCGCCUCCAAAAGUGUAACGGAGGCUUCUAAAGGUGCCCUCAGGACGAUUGGUAACCGUCCGUAGAGUGUAAUGGCAUAAGGGCGCUUGACUGGGAGACAGACAAGUCGAUCAGGUAGGAAACUAGAGCAUAGUGAUCCGGUGUUUCCGCAUGGAAGGGACAUCGCUCAAAGGAUAAAAGGUACUCCGGGGAUAACAGGCUGAUCCCUCCCAAGAGCUCAUAUCGACGGAGGGGUUUGGCACCUCGAUGUCGGCUCGUCACAUCCUGGGGCUGGAGAAGGUCCCAAGGGUUGGGCUGUUCGCCCAUUAAAGUGGCACGCGAGCUGGGUUCAGAACGUCGUGAGACAGUUCGGUCUCUAUCUAUCGUGGGCGUAUGAAAUUUGCGUGGCUCUGACACUAGUACGAGAGGACCGUGUUGGACUGACCGCUGGUUUACCAGUUGUGCCGCCAGGUGCAUCGCUGGGUAUCUAAGUCGGGAUUGGAUAAGUGCUGAAAGCAUCUAAGUACGAAGCCAGCCACAAGAUUAGAUUUCUUAGGGUCGUCAAAGACGAUGACGUUGAUAGGAUGCAGGUGUAAAGGUGGUAACAUCAAAGCCGAGCAUUACUAAUUGCCCGUUCACUUUCUUU
rnacentral:rRNA from 1 species